UACGUAGGGUGCAAGCGUUGUCCGGAAUUAUUGGGCGUAAAGAGCUCGUAGGCGGUUCGUCGCGUCGGCUGUGAAAUCCCGGAGCCCAACUCCGGGUCUGCAGUCGAUACGGGCGGACUUGAGUACUGCAGGGGAGACUGGAAUUCCUGGUGUAGCGGUGAAAUGCGCAGAUAUCAGGAGGAACACCGGUGGCGAAGGCGGGUCUCUGGGCAGUAACUGACGCUGAGGCGCGAAAGCUCGGGGAGCGAACGGG
rnacentral:rRNA from 1 species